rnacentral:rRNA from 1 species
UACAGAGGUCCCAAGCGUUGUUCGGAUUCACUGGGCGUAAAGGGCGCGUAGGUGGUUCUGUGUGUCUACCGUGAAAGCGUACGGCUCAACCGUAUUUUGUCGGUAGAAACUGCAGGACUUGAGGCUGGGAGGGGCUGGUGGAAUUCCCUGUGUAGCGGUGAAAUGCGUAGAUAUCGGAAGGAACACCGGUGGCGAAGGCGGCGACCUGGGACGAUACUGACGCUGAGGUGCGAAAGCGUGGGGAGCAAACAGG